rnacentral:rRNA from 1 species
UACGAAGGGUGCAAGCGUUACUCGGAAUUACUGGGCGUAAAGCGUGCGUAGGUGGUUGUUUAAGUCUGUUGUGAAAGCCCUGGGCUCAACCUGGGAACUGCAGUGGAAACUGGACGACUAGAGUGUGGUAGAGGGUAGCGGAAUUCCUGGUGUAGCAGUGAAAUGCGUAGAGAUCAGGAGGAACAUCCAAGGCGAAGGCAGCUACCUGGACCAACACUGACACUGAGGCACGAAAGCGUGGGGAGCAAACAGG